ACCGGAUGCGGAUCUCGAAAGCCUGUCCCAGUUCGGACUGGAGUCUGCAACCCGACUCCACGAAGUUGGAUUCGCUAGUAAUCGCGCAUCAGCCAUGGCGCGGUGAAUACGUUCCCGGGCCUUGUACACACCGCCCGUCAAGCCAUGGGAGCCGGGGGCGCCUGAAGUUCGUGACCGCAAGGAGCGACCUAGGGCAAAACUGGUGACUGGGGCUAAGUCGUAACAAGGUACC
rnacentral:rRNA from 1 species